rnacentral:lncRNA from 1 species
GACAAUAUCUCCCUCCACUUGAGGUUACUACUUCCUCCUCUUCUCUCAUAUUACUCCUGUCCCUCUACUCUCUCUCUCUCUAAAUUAUACUUGCACUUAUAACAUCUUUACCACACAAGAUACUGACUUGAGCGUCGGAGUGCCCACGGGGUGAACCCCCUCGGGCCCUCUAACUAGAUCUACCUGUGGCUGCAGCCCAAGACCCGACAUCCCGCAAGAGGAACCGUCACCGCGACGACGAGAGGACGAACCUGAACCGGAGCUCACCGAAUCUAAGGUUAGUACCGCCAAACCCUCUGAACGACUUCAGGGAUUUGUGGAUUCGAUAUUGGCGCCAUCCGUGGGACCGAGCACAAACGUGUCUCGGUCUCCUCAUACAUACGGCCGGAUCUGCCCUCUCCGCGACGUCCAGAUCUGCCUCAUCAACUCCGGUCUUCAGGACAGGAUGACAAAAGUCAAGGUACAUACAAAACAGAGGAAGAGCAAGUUCCAAAGAAUGAAGAAUUUGUGAAGAUUGGAUCUUCGGAAUCUGAAUCAGUAUGUUCUAAAUGUGAUAAACUUGAAGCUGACAAUGACAAACUCUUGAAAGAUGCGGAGAGUUUGACAUUGGAAAACAAAACUUUGAAGAUCGAGAAGAAAGCUGAUGAUGAACAGAUUCUGGUGUUGCGUUUGAACUGUGAAAAACUGAAAUCUGAAAAUGACAAACUUUUGAAGAAUAUUGAGAGCUUGUCUUUAGAAAACAAAUAUUUUGAAAAAAUUAAAAGUGAAAAUAAAGAUGU